rnacentral:tRNA from 1 species
UCCUCUGUGGCGCAAUUGGCUAGCGCGUCUGACUGUUAAUCAGGAGGUUGGAAGUUCAAGCCUUCCCGGAGGAG